rnacentral:rRNA from 1 species
UACGGGGGGAGCAAGCGUUGUUCGGAUUUACUGGGCGUAAAGGGCGCGUAGGCGGCGUGACAAGUCACUUGUGAAAUCUCCGGGCUUAACUCGGAGCGGCCAAGUGAUACUGUCGUGCUAGAGUGCGGAAGGGGCUACUGGAAUUCUCGGUGUAGCGGUGAAAUGCGUAGAUAUCGAGAGGAACACCUGCGGCGAAGGCGGGUCUCUGGGCCGAUACUGACGCUGAGGAGCGAAAGCGUGGGGAGCGAACAGG